rnacentral:misc_RNA from 1 species
GAUGAAGAACGUAGCGAAAUGCGAUAAGUAAUGUGAAUUGCAGAAUUCAGUGAAUCACCGAAUCUUUGAACGCACAUUGCGCCCCCUGGUAUUCCGGGGGGCAUGCCUGUCCGAGCGUCAUUACAACCCUCAAGCUCAGCUUGGUGUUGGGCCCCGCCGCCCCGGCGGGCCCUAAAGUCAGUGGCGGUGCCGUCCGGCUCCGAGCGUAGUAAUUCUUCUCGCUCUGGAGGUCCGGUCGUGUGCUCGCCAGCAACCCCCAAUUUUUUUCAGGUUGACCUCGGAUCAGGUAGGGAUACCCGCUGAACUUAAGCAUAUCAAUAAGCGGAGGA